rnacentral:rRNA from 1 species
AACGAACGCUGGCGGCAUGCCUAACACAUGCAAGUCGAACGAGACCUUCGGGUCUAGUGGCGCACGGGUGCGUAACGCGUGGGAAGCUGCCCGUAGGUUCGGAAUAACUCACCGAAAGGGGUGCUAAUACCGGUUAAUGUCUUAGGACCAAAGAUUUAUCGCCUUUGGAUGGGCGCGCGUUGGAUUAGCUAGUUGGUAGGGUAAAAGCCUACCAAGGCGACGAUGCAUAGCUGGUCGGAGAGGAGGAUAAGCCACACUGGGACUGAGGCACGGCCCAGACUCCUACGGAAGGGAGCAGUGUAGAAUAUUGGACAAUGGGGGAAGGUCUGAUACAGCAACGCCGCGUGAGUGAUGAAGGCCUUAGGGUUGUAAAGCUCUUUUACCCGGGAUGAUAAUGACGGUACCGGGUGAAUAAGCACCGGCUAACUCCGUG